UGGCGGACGGGUGAGUAACGCGUGGGUAACCUGCCUUGCACUGGGGGAUAACACUUAGAAAUAGGUGCUAAUACCGCAUAAGCGCACGGUCCUGCAUGGGACAGUGUGAAAAACUCCGGUGGUGCAAGAUGGACCCGCGUCUGAUUAGCUGGUUGGCGGGGUAAAGCCCACCAAGGCGACGAUCAGUAGCCGGCCUGAGAGGGUGGACGGCCACAUUGGGACUGAGACACGGCCCAAACUCCUACGGAAGGCAGCAG
rnacentral:rRNA from 1 species